rnacentral:lncRNA from 10 species
UAAAAUAAAAUAAAACCUUAAAGCAAAAGUUUCUCAAUCCCAGAGCAAAGUGAUAUAUAAAAUAUUCUUUGUAUACCUAAUAAAAUAGUGACAAGUAGAAAUCUGGAGAAUAAUUCAUAACAAUCUGUUUAUGUGUGUGUGUGUUGUGUGCAUUCAUGUGGAGGCAUAUUUGAUUGUUUCUUAUUAGUAAAUUUGUGUAAUUGAUGCUUACUUCGGGUGGAUGUAUUUUUUAAUCAUCUCAAUCAUCAAGUGCCUCAUAUCUCAGGAAAUAGUAGUUGACAUAUUUCAGAGAGAAAGAAGACUGAAUAGAGCGUGCAGCUUACAGCUUGAUUAUAACCUUUUUAUUCUAUUUGCCUUUGUGUUUGACAUGUAAUACCAACAUUUUUCUGUCACCUACAAUUUGAAUCCAUGUAAGUCACAAUAAGAAGAAAGCAUCUGUGCCCCUAUGCUGUGCAAAGCUGCUGAGGCAUAGCUACAGAUCAAGCAUAUAACACAGAAUCAGAAUUGAAUCUGCCAUGUAGCUCUACUCAUUAUUUUGUUAAAAACAUUAAUGCUAAGCAGCCUGCUUGGUGGCUCCCGCCUGUGGGAGGCCUAGGUAGGUGCAUCACGAGGUCAAGAGAUCAAAACCAUCCUAGCCAAUGUCUCUACUAAAAAUACAAAAAUUAGCUGGGCGUGGUAGUGUGCACCUGUAGUCCCAGCUACUUGCAAGGCUGAGGCAGGAGAAUCGCUUGAAUCUGGGAAGCGAAGGUUGCAGUGAGCCGAGAUGGUGCCACUGCACUCCAGCCUGGGCAACAGAGAGAGACUCAGUCUCAAAAAAAAAAAAAAAAAAAGAAAAAAAAAUUAAUGAUAAGCAAAGUGCUUUGCAUUCGUAAUCUCUGUUAAUGCUCAUAGCAAGUCCCUAUGUACUCAAGACACAAAUCACGAGCUUCAUUUGAAAUUUGGAAAGUCAAGAUUUGCAAAAGCUACAUAUCCUGCAUGAGGUGACGAACUAGAAAGUAGCAGCCCAGAUCUUCUGAGUUCUAGUUUAAUACCUUCUCCCAAGAUCAAGAAAGAAAGGCGCCUCCAUUGUUUCACUCUUUCUUCAGCUUGGCUCCUUGGAAGCUUGGAAAAAUUGUCUUUGAAAAAGAAAUAAAUAAUAACACUUAAAAUAGACAUAUUUUUUAAAUUCCUUAGGAAAAAAGGUUUAAAUAUUUAUUUAAACUCAUUUUUUCCAAAUGUAUCUCACUGACACCUGAUGAACUUUCUACAUAGCCCUUGAUUCAGGUACAAAUUUGAAUAUUUAUAUCAGUUAGAGUUCUACAAGAGAAUAAUCAGUAAGGGGAUACUAAAGGUGCACUGCAUGGAACUGGCUAUAUGAUUUAAGAGGCUUGCUAGGCAAACCCCAAAUCCACAAAAUGGAUUAUCAGGAAGGCUGAGUUGGAAUUCUGGGGCAUGAGCUGAAGCUGGUGUCCACAGGUAGAAUCCUUUCCUUCAAGGCCUGCUCUGCUUUUAAGGCUUUUUAAUCGAAUUGGGCCC